AACGAACGCUGGCGGCAGGCCUAACACAUGCAAGUCGAGCGCUCACUUCGGUGGGAGCGGCGGACGGGUUAGUAACGCGUGGGAACGUACCCUUCUCUAAGGAAUAGCCACUGGAAACGGUGAGUAAUACCUUAUACGCCCUUCGGGGGAAAGAUUUAUCGGAGAAGGAUCGGCCCGCGUUAGAUUAGGUAGUUGGUGGGGUAACGGCCUACCAAGCCUACGAUCUAUAGCUGGUUUGAGAGGAUGAUCAGCAACACUGGGACUGAGACACGGCCCAGACUCCUACGGGAGGCAGCAGUGGGGAAUCUUAGACAAUGGGGGAAACCCUGAUCUAGCCAUGCCGCGUGAGUGACGAAGGCCCUAGGGUCGUAAAGCUCUUUCGCUGGGGAAGAUAAUGAC
rnacentral:rRNA from 1 species